rnacentral:rRNA from 1 species
GAUGAACGCUGGCGGCGUGCCUAAUACAUGCAAGUCGAGCGAACAGACGAGGAGCUUGCUCCUCUGACGUUAGCGGCGGACGGGUGAGUAACACGUGGAUAACCUACCUAUAAGACUGGGAUAACUUCGGGAAACCGGAGCUAAUACCGGAUAAUAUAUUGAACCGCAUGGUUCAAUAGUGAAAGACGGUUUUGCUGUCACUUAUAGAUGGAUCCGCGCCGCAUUAGCUAGUUGGUAAGGUAACGGCUUACCAAGGCAACGAUGCGUAGCCGACCUGAGAGGGUGAUCGGCCACACUGGAACUGAGACACGGUCCAGACUCCUACGGGAGGCAGCAGUAGGGAAUCUUCCGCAAAGGGCGAAAGACUGACGGAGCAACGCCGCGUGAGUGAUGAAGGUCUUCGGAUCGUAAAACUCUGUUAUUAGGGAAGAACAAAUGUGUAAGUAACUAUGCACGUCUUGACGGUACCUAAUCAGAAAGCCACGGCUAACUACGUG